rnacentral:rRNA from 1 species
UACGAAGGUGGCAAGCGUUGUUCGGAUUUACUGGGCGUACAGGGAGCGUAGGCGGUUCGGUAAGCCCUCUGUGAAAUCUCCAGGCUUAACCUGGAACAGUCGGAGGGGACUGCUGGGCUAGAGGACGGGAGAGGAGCGCGGAAUUCCCGGUGGUAGCGGUGAAAUGACGUAGAGAUCGGGAGGAAGGCCGGCGGCGAAGGCGGCGCUCUGGAACGUUUCUGACGCUGAGGCUCGAAAGCGUGGGGAGCAAACAGG